CCCGGGGGCAGCAGUGAGGAAUAUUGGUCAAUGGGCGGAAGCCUGAACCAGCCAAGUCGCGUGAGGGAAUAAGGCCCUACGGGUCGUAAACCCCUUUUGCCGGGGAGCAAGGGCCGGGACGCGUCCCGGCCCGGAGAGUACCCGGAGAAAAAGCAUCGGCUAACUCCGUGCCAGCAGCCGCGGUAAUACGGAGGAUGCGAGCGUUAUCCGGAUUUAUUGGGUUUAAAGGGUGCGUAGGCGGGCUUUUAAGUCAGCGGUAAAAAUUCGGGGCUCAACCCCGUCCGGCCGUUGAAACGGGGGGCCUU
rnacentral:rRNA from 1 species